rnacentral:rRNA from 1 species
CCUACGGGUGGCAGCAGUGGGGAAUAUUGGACAAUGGGCGAAAGCCUGAUCCAGCCAUGCCGCGUGUGUGAAGAAGGUCUUCGGAUUGUAAAGCACUUUAAGCUGGGAGGAAGGGCAGUAAGUUAAUACCUUGCUGUUUUGACGUUACCAGCAGAAUAAGCACCGGCUAACUUCGUGCCAGCAGCCGCGGUAAUACGAAGGGUGCAAGCGUUAAUCGGAAUUACUGGGCGUAAAGCGCGCGUAGGUGGUUCAGCAAGUUGGAUGUGAAAGCCCCGGGCUCAACCUGGGAACUGCAUCCAAAACUACUGGGCUAGAGUAUGGUAGAGGGUGGUGGAAUUUCCUGUGUAGCGGUGAAAUGCGUAGAUAUAGGAAGGAACACCAGUGGCGAAGGCGACCACCUGGACUAAUACUGACACUGAGGUGCGAAAGCGUGGGGAG